rnacentral:rRNA from 1 species
UACGUAGGGUCCAAGCGUUGUCCGGAAUUAUUGGGCGUAAAGAGCUCGUAGGCGGUCUGUUGCGUCGGUUGUGAAAACCUGGGGCUCAACUCCAGGCCUGCAAUCGAUACGGGCAGACUAGAGUUCGGUAGGGGAGACUGGAAUUCCUGGUGUAGCGGUGAAAUGCGCAGAUAUCAGGAGGAACACCUAUAGCGAAGGCAGCUUGCUGGGACGGUACUGACGCUAAGGCGCGAAAGCGUGGGGAGCGAACAGG